rnacentral:tRNA from 1 species
GCCACCGUAGCUCAGUUUGGCAGAGCGGCUGAUUCGUAAUCAGCAGGUCGAGGGUUCAAGUCCCUCCGGUGGCU